AGAGUUUGAUCCUGGCUCAGAGCGAACGCUGGCGGCAGGCUUAACACAUGCAAGUCGAGCGGGCGUAGCAAUACGUCAGCGGCAGACGGGUGAGUAACGCGUGGGAACGUACCUUUUGGUUCGGAACAACCCAGGGAAACUUGGGCUAAUACCGGAUAAGCCCUUACGGGGAAAGAUUUAUCGCCGAAAGAUCGGCCCGCGUCUGAUUAGCUAGUUGGUGAGGUAAUGGCUCACCAAGGCGACGAUCAGUAGCUGGUCUGAGAGGAUGAUCAGCCACAUUGGGACUGAGACACGGCCCAAACUCCUACGGGAGGCAGCAGUGGGGAAUAUUGGACAAUGGGCGCAAGCCUGAUCCAGCCAUGCCGCGUGAGUGAUGAAGGCCCUAGGGUUGUAAAGCUCUUUUGUGCGGGAAGAUAAUGACGGUACCGCAAGAAUAAGCCCCGGCUAACUUCGUGCCAGCAGCCGCGGUAAUACGAAGGGGGCUAGCGUUGCUCGGAAUCACUGGGCGUAAAGGGUGCGUAGGCGGGUCUUUAAGUCAGGGGUGAAAUCCUGGAGCUCAACUCCAGAACUGCCAUUGAUACUGAAGAUCUUGAGUUCGGGAGAGGUGAGUGGAACUGCGAGUGUAGAGGUGAAAUUCGUAGAUAUUCGCAAGAACACCAGUGGCGAAGGCGGCUCACUGGCCCGAUACUGACGCUGAGGCACGAAAGCGUGGGGAGCAAACAGGAUUAGAUACCCUCGUAGUCC
rnacentral:rRNA from 1 species